CAAAUUAAAAAUAAGGCCUAAUAUUGAAACACAAAAUUACAGACUACCAUACCAUAUCCAUAAAUCACUACAAAUGAUCACAAUUUUGAU